UUAAAUUGAAGAGUUUGAUCAUGGCUCAGAUUGAACGCUGGCGGCAGGCCUAACACAUGCAAGUCGAACGGUAACAGGAAGAAGCUUGCUUCUUUGCUGACGAGUGGCGGACGGGUGAGUAAUGUCUGGGAAACUGCCUGAUGGAGGGGGAUAACUACUGGAAACGGUAGCUAAUACCGCAUAACGUCGCAAGACCAAAGAGGGGGACCUUCGGGCCUCUUGCCAUCGGAUGUGCCCAGAUGGGAUUAGCUAGUAGGUGGGGUAACGGCUCACCUAGGCGACGAUCCCUAGCUGGUCUGAGAGGAUGACCAGCCACACUGGAACUGAGACACGGUCCAGACUCCUACGGGAGGCAGCAGUGGGGAAUAUUGCACAAUGGGCGCAAGCCUGAUGCAGCCAUGCCGCGUGUAUGAAGAAGGCCUUCGGGUUGUAAAGUACUUUCAGCGGGGAGGAAGGGGGUAAAGUUAAUACCUUUGCUCAUUGACGUUACCCGCAGAAGAAGCACCGGCUAACUCCGUGCCAGCAGCCGCGGUAAUACGGAGGGUGCAAGCGUUAAUCGGAAUUACUGGGCGUAAAGCGCACGCAGGCGGUUUGUUAAGUCAGAUGUGAAAUCCCCGGGCUCAACCUGGGAACUGCAUCUGAUACUGGCAAGCUUGAGUCUCGUAGAGGGGGGUAGAAUUCCAGGUGUAGCGGUGAAAUGCGUAGAGAUCUGGAGGAAUACCGGUGGCGAAGGCGGCCCCCUGGACGAAGACUGACGCUCAGGUGCGAAAGCGUGGGGAGCAAACAGGAUUAGAUACCCUGGUAGUCCACGCCGUAAACGAUGUCGACUUGGAGGUUGUGCCCUUGAGGCGUGGCUUCCGGAGCUAACGCGUUAAGUCGACCGCCUGGGGAGUACGGCCGCAAGGUUAAAACUCAAAUGAAUUGACGGGGGCCCGCACAAGCGGUGGAGCAUGUGGUUUAAUUCGAUGCAACGCGAAGAACCUUACCUGGUCUUGACAUCCACGGAAGUUUUCAGAGAUGAGAAUGUGCCUUCGGGAACCGUGAGACAGGUGCUGCAUGGCUGUCGUCAGCUCGUGUUGUGAAAUGUUGGGUUAAGUCCCGCAACGAGCGCAACCCUUAUCCUUUGUUGCCAGCGGUCCGGCCGGGAACUCAAAGGAGACUGCCAGUGAUAAACUGGAGGAAGGUGGGGAUGACGUCAAGUCAUCAUGGCCCUUACGACCAGGGCUACACACGUGCUACAAUGGCGCAUACAAAGAGAAGCGACCUCGCGAGAGCAAGCGGACCUCAUAAAGUGCGUCGUAGUCCGGAUUGGAGUCUGCAACUCGACUCCAUGAAGUCGGAAUCGCUAGUAAUCGUGGAUCAGAAUGCCACGGUGAAUACGUUCCCGGGCCUUGUACACACCGCCCGUCACACCAUGGGAGUGGGUUGCAAAAGAAGUAGGUAGCUUAACCUUCGGGAGGGCGCUUACCACUUUGUGAUUCAUGACUGGGGUGAAGUCGUAACAAGGUAACCGUAGGGGAACCUGCGGUUGGAUCACCUCCUUACCUUAAAGAAGC
rnacentral:rRNA from 1 species